rnacentral:rRNA from 1 species
GUGGAUUAGAUACCCUGGUAGUCCACGCCCUAAACGAUGCGAACUGGAUGUUGGUCUCAACUCGGAGAUCAGUGUCGAAGCUAACGCGUUAAGUUCGCCGCCUGGGGAGUACGGUCGCAAGACUGAAACUCAAAGGAAUUGACGGGGGCCCGCACAAGCGGUGGAGUAUGUGGUUUAAUUCGAUGCAACGCGAAGAACCUUACCUGGCCUUGACAUGUCCGGAAUCCUGCAGAGAUGCGGGAGUGCCUUCGGGAAUCGGAACACAGGUGCUGCACGGUCGUCGACAGCU